UACGUAGGGUGCAAGCGUUAAUCGGAAUUACUGGGCGUAAAGCGUGCGCAGGCGGCUUUGCAAGACAGAUGUGAAAUCCCCGGGCUCAACCUGGGAACUGCAUUUGUGACUGCAUGGCUAGAGUACGGUAGAGGGGGAUGGAAUUCCGCGUGUAGCAGUGAAAUGCGUAGAUAUGCGGAGGAACACCGAUGGCGAAGGCAAUCCCCUGGACCUGUACUGACGCUGAGACGCGAAAGCGUGGGGAGCGAACAGG
rnacentral:rRNA from 1 species